rnacentral:rRNA from 1 species
UACGUAGGGGGCAAGCGUUGUCCGGAAUCAUUGGGCGUAAAGAGCGUGUAGGCGGCCUGAAAGGUCAGCUGUGAAAACUCGAGGCUCAACCUCGAGACGUCGGUUGAAACCAUCUGGCUAGAGUCCGGAAGAGGAGUGUGGAAUUCCCGGUGUAGCGGUGAAAUGCGCAGAUAUCGGGAAGAACACCCGUGGCGAAGGCGGCACUCUGGGACGGUACUGACGCUGAGACGCGAAAAGCGUGGGGAGCGAACAGG